AUUGAACGCUGGCGGCAGGCCUAACACAUGCAAGUCGAGCGGAUGAAGGGAGCUUGCUCCUGGAUUCAGCGGCGGACGGGUGAGUAAUGCCUAGGAAUCUGCCUGGUAGUGGGGGAUAACGUCCGGAAACGGGCGCUAAUACCGCAUACGUCCUGAGGGAGAAAGUGGGGGAUCUUCGGACCUCACGCUAUCAGAUGAGCCUAGGUCGGAUUAGCUAGUUGGUGGGGUAAAGGCCUACCAAGGCGACGAUCCGUAACUGGUCUGAGAGGAUGAUCAGUCACACUGGAACUGAGACACGAUCCAGACUCCUACGGGAGGCAGCAGUGGGGAAUAUUGGACAAUGGGCGAAAGCCUGAUCCAGCCAUGCUGCGUGUGUGAAGAAGGUCUUCGGAUUGUAAAGCACUUUAAGUUGGGAGGAAGGGCAGUAAGUUAAUACCUUGCUGUUUUGACGUUACCAACAGAAUAAGCACCGGCUAACUUCGUG
rnacentral:rRNA from 1 species